rnacentral:lncRNA from 1 species
UAAGAAUUCAGACUUUUGUAAAAAUACUAUUAGCCAGUAGAUACCAUUCUUAGAAUGUGUGCUAAGAGAAUAACAUUUUAUUUGUAUUCACGUGUCCUACAGAAAACAGCUAACUUCAAAGCUGGUGGAGCGGUCAUGGGUGAAGCAGACCAGUGAAAUGAUUUGCACCCCUGGGCAGGAGUCAGCAUGAAUUUUCUGCUGGUAAGUCAAUUAGAUAUGAAUUUUUCUGUUACCUGCAUGUGGUCUAAUAACAUUAUGUGCAAGCUCUGAUAAUUAUGAGCUUGGAACACCUUAUUUUCCCAGUUGCUGUGUGUUCUGUUGGUAAUGACUGUGACAGUGGUUCUCAUAGUAUAACAAGCUGAUAUGCCAUAAAAUGUUUAACUCUUGCAGUCAAUACUUUGAGUACCAUACAGUCCUGAGUGGAUGGACUGAGAAUGUAAGCCUCAGCUUUGCUGGGAGAUGUCCAUGGAGUAUAUCUCGAGAAAAUUGACAAGAACUUUUCAGCUGUGGAUAAAUACUACUUCGACAGUGUUUUCAACAUAAUCCUUAUAUAUGUAAGUGUAUCUCUCUUGUGAAUUUUCCUAAAUGCAUAUUUUAAGGAAGAAAACAUGCAACAGCAGAUGCACUGAGGAUAAUUCUGCCAAUUAAAAAGAUAACAGGAGUGCUGCUGUUAACUGAAUAUAGAGCAGUGAGCUAAGGUAGAGAACAACAAUAUUUGACAUAGCUGGUCACAGCUGACAUUUCUGUUCUUGAUCCAGUGAAUCAUCUGAAUCCUCUAAGAACAUUCAUCAUGGAAAUAGUCUGAGACAGAGAAAUAAACUGAGCUCUCUUACAGAAUCUAUUCUUGAC